rnacentral:tRNA from 1 species
UAUAAAGUGCCUGAUUAAAGGAUUAUUCUGAUAGAGUAAAUAAAAUAGUUUAAAGCUAUCUUUAUAA